rnacentral:rRNA from 1 species
AGCGAACGCUAGCGGCGAGCUUAACACAUGCAAGUCGAGCGGAGGGUUUCGGCCCUCAGCGGCGGACGGGUGAGUAACACGUAGGUUACGUGCCCUUUGGUGGGGAAUAACUUAGGGAAACCUGAGCUAAUACCGCAUAUGCCCCUUCGGGGUGAAAGUCUUCGGACGCCAGAGGAUCGGCCUGCGGCCCAUUAUUUAAUCCUUGUUGGUGGGGUAACGGCCUACCAAGGGUACGAUGGGUAGCUGGUCUGAGAGGAUGAUCAGCCACACUGGGACUGAGACACGGCCCAGACUUCCUACGGGAGGCAGCAGUGGGGAAUAUUGGACAAUGGGGGAAACCCUGAUCCAGCUACGCCGCGUGGGUGAUGAAGGCCUGGUGUAAGCCNGUCGAGGGGAGAAGUUCUGACGGACCCUCAAGAAAGCA